rnacentral:rRNA from 1 species
AUGUUGAACUGGAGAGCAUCAAUUUGGUGGAUGAAAGCAAACGACCGACCGACCGACCAACCAACAAGAACACCAACAGCUUAUCUUGCACAGAAACUGAUACCCUACAAUCGAAGCAGCACCCGUGCCAAGAUCCACCCACGUACGGACCAGCACAAAAUGUCGAGAGCAUCUUUCCUAGGUUCCUAUUUCCCUAACCGAAGCAGAGCCAGCACGCCGGCCAGAAAUACAAGAAACCCAACUCGAAAUACGGCAAGAAGCGCGGUAUCACGCACCGGAGCGGGGAGGCCGGGAGAGGGGCGUGGCUCCUCGGGGUCUCCCGGCUCCAGGGGGCCUCCGGACCCCGGAGAGGAACGGGCGGAGGGGGAAAGAAAUGUCGCCGAGUCGGGUGGAGGAGGGGGACGAAAAAGAGGAGCGAAGGACAUGGACGGCUCAGCUUUAGCCGCCUCCUCGUGUGCCUUGCUCGGGGACGCGUAG